rnacentral:SRP_RNA from 1 species
CGAUGGGUCUUCCGCAAUCGGCGGCUGUGAACCAUGUCAGGCGGGGAACCGAGCAGCAUUAAGCGGUUUGUCCGAUGUGCCGGAAGGGCGCCUGUCCGGA